GAGUUUGAUCAUGGCUCAGAUUGAACGCUGGCGGCAGGCCUAACACAUGCAAGUCGAGCGGAAACGAGUUAUCUGAACCUUCGGGGAACGAUAACGGCGUCGAGCGGCGGACGGGUGAGUAAUGCCUAGGAAAUUGCCCUGAUGUGGGGGAUAACCAUUGGAAACGAUGGCUAAUACCGCAUAAUGCCUACGGGCCAAAGAGGGGGACCUUCGGGCCUCUCGCGUCAGGAUAUGCCUAGGUGGGAUUAGCUAGUUGGUGAGGUAAUGGCUCACCACGGGCGACGAUCCCUAGCCUGGUCUGAG
rnacentral:rRNA from 2 species